GUUCGCUGCCGCGCAGGCAGCUCAGAAA
rfam:Thioalkalivibrio nitratireducens DSM 14787, complete genome.